CGGCAACAGCUCCAUUUGAAAUCUGGCUCUCUUGGGGGUCCGAGUUGUAAUUUGUAGAGGGUGCUUUGGUGUUAGCUGUGGUCUAAGUCCCUUGGAACAGGGCGUCACAGAGGGUGAGAAUCCCGUAUGUGGCCAGCAGCUUUCGCCUUGUAAAGCCCCUUCGACGAGUCGAGUUGUUUGGGAAUGCAGCUCUAAAUGGGAGGUAAAUUUCUUCUAAAGCUAAAUAUUGGCCAGAGACCGAUAGCGCACAAGUAGAGUGAUCGAAAGAUGAAAAGCACUUUGGAAAGAGAGUCAAAAAGCACGUGAAAUUGUUGAAAGGGAAGCGCUUGCAGCCAGACUUGCCCGUAGUUGCUCAUCCAGACCUUGUGUCUGGUGCACUCUUCUGCGGGCAGGCCAGCAUCAGUUCAGGCGGUCGGAUAAAGGCUCUGGGAAUGUGGCUCCUCUCGGGGAGUGUUAUAGCCCAGGGUGCAAUGCGGCCAGCUUGGACUGAGGUCCGCGCUUCUGCUAGGAUGCUGGCGUAAUGGCUGUAAGCGGCCCGUCUUGAAACACGGACCAAGGAGUCUAACAUCUAUGCGAGUGUUUGGGUGUCAAGCCCGAGCGCGCAAUGAAAGUGAACGGAGGUGGGAACCCCUUGGGGUGCACCAUCGACCGAUCCUGAUGUCUUCGGAUGGAUUUGAGUAAGAGCAUAGCUGUUGGGACCCGAAAGAUGGUGAACUAUGCCUGAAUAGGGUGAAGCCAGAGGAAACUCUGGUGGAGGCUCGCAGCGGUUCUGACGUGCAAAUCGAUCGUACAAAUCG
rnacentral:rRNA from 1 species